UACAGAGGGGGCAAGCGUUGUUCGGAAUUACUGGGCGUAAAGGGCGCGUAGGCGGCCUUCUAAGUCGAACGUGAAAUCCCUGGGCUCAACCCAGGAACUGCGUCCGAUACUGGAAGGCUUGAAUCCGGGAGAGGGAUGCGGAAUUCCAGGUGUAGCGGUGAAAUGCGUAGAGAUGUGGAGGAACACCGAUGGCGAAGGCAGCCCCCUGGGCUAACACUGACGCUCAUGCACGAAAGCGUGGGGAGCAAACAGG
rnacentral:rRNA from 1 species